rnacentral:rRNA from 1 species
AUUGAACGCUGGCGGCAGGCUUAACACAUGCAAGUCGAGCGGGGUGAUGGUGCUUGCACUAUCACUUAGCGGCGGACGGGUGAGUAAUGCUUAGGAAUCUGCCCAUUAGUGGGGGACAACAUCUCGGAAGGGAUGCUAAUACCGCAUACGUCCUACGGGAGAAAGCAGGGGAUCACUUGUGACCUUGCGCUAAUAGAUGAGCCUAAGUCGGAUUAGCUAGUUGGUGGGGUAACGGCCUACCAAGGCGACGAUCUGUAGCGGGUCUGAGAGGAUGAUCCGCCACACUGGGACUGAGACACGGCCCAGACUCCUACGGGAGGCAACAGUGGGGAAUAUUGGACAAUGGGGGGAACCCUGAUCCAGCCAUGCCGCGUGUGUGAAGAAGGCCUUAUGGUUGUAAAGCACUUUAAGCGAGGAGGAGGCUCUUUUGGUUAAUACCCAAGAUGAGUGGACGUUACUCGCAGAAUAAGCACCGGCUAACUCUGUGCCAGCAGCCGCCGUAA